UACGGAGGGUGCAAGCGUUAUCCGGAUUCACUGGGUUUAAAGGGUGCGUAGGUGGGCAAGUAAGUCAGUGGUGAAAUCUCCGGGCUUAACCCGGAAACUGCCAUUGAUACUAUUUGUCUUGAAUACUGUGGAGGUCAGCGGAAUAUGUCAUGUAGCGGUGAAAUGCUUAGAUAUGACAUAGGACACCAAUUGCGAAGGCAGCUGGCUACACAAAUAUUGACAUUGAGGCACGAAAGCGUGGGGAUCAAACAGG
rnacentral:rRNA from 1 species